rnacentral:rRNA from 1 species
GACGAACGCUGGCGGCGUGCUUAACACAUGCAAGUCGAACGGAAAGGCCCUGCUUUUGUGGGGUGCUCGAGUGGCGAACGGGUGAGUAACACGUGAGUAACCUGCCCUUGACUUUGGGGUAACUUCAGGAAACUGGGGCUAAUACCGGAUAGGAGCUCCUGCUGCAUGGUGGGGGUUGGAAAGUUUCGGCGGUUGGGGAUGGACUCGCGGCUUAUCAGCUUGUUGGUUGGGUAGUGGCUUACCAAGGCUUUGACGGGUAGCCGGCCUGAGAGGGUGACCGGCCACAUUGGGACUGAGAUACGGCCCAGACUCCUACGGGAGGCAGCAGUGGGGAAUAUUGCACAAUGGGCGGAAGCCUGAUGCAGCAACGCCGCGUGCGGGAUGACGGCCUUCGGGUUGUAAACCGCUUUCGCCUGUGACGAAGCGUGAGUGACGGUAAUGGGUAAAGAAGCACCGGCUAACUACGUG